UACGAGUGCGUCGAGCGUUAUCCGGAAUCAUUGUGCGUAAAGGGUGCGUAGGCGGCGCGGUAAGUCGGGUGUGAAAUCUCGGAGCUUAACUCCGAAACUGCAUUCGAUACUGCCGUGCUUGAGGACUGGAGAGGAGACUGGAAUUUACGGUGUAGCGGUGAAAUGCGUAGAUAUCGUAAGGAAGACCAGUGGCGAAGGCGGGUCUCUGGACAGUUCCUGACGCUGAGGCACGAAGGUCAGGGGAGCAAACGGG
rnacentral:rRNA from 1 species